UCUUGGUCAUUUAGAGGAAGUAAAAGUCGUAACAAGGUUUCCGUAGGUGAACCUGCGGAAGGAUCAUUAGUGAAUUAAACAUGCUUGGUGUCUUCGCUUCGGCAAGGCCCUUGCUUAACUCACAUCCCAACACCUGUGAACUGUAAGGCGCAUGACUAGGUUCGCCCAAGUCAUCGUCUGCCCUUUUUAACAAACAAUUAAUGUAACAAACGUAGUCUUAUUAUAACCUAAUAAAACUUUCAACAACGGAUCUCUUGGCUCUCGCAUCGAUGAAGAACGCAGCGAAAUGCGAUAAGUAAUGUGAAUUGCAGAAUUCAGUGAAUCAUCGAAUCUUUGAACGCACCUUGCGCUCUUUGGUAUUCCGAAGAGCAUGCCUGUUUGAGUGUCAUGAAAAUAUCAACCUUGACUUGGGUUUUGUGCUCUAGUCUCGGCUUGGAAUUGGGUGCUUGCCGCUUUUACGAGCGGCUCACCUUAAAUGUAUUAGCUGGAUCUGUCUUUGAGACUUGGUUUGACUUGGCGUAAUAAGUAUUUCGCUAAGGGCAUUCUUCGGAGUGGCCUCGUUUCUAGGACGCUUGUCCGCUUUCCAAUACAAGUUCCACCUCGUGGACAUGACUUUUUAUUAUCUGGCCUCAAAUCAGUAGGACUACCCGCUGAACUUAAGCAUAUCAAUAAGCGGAGGA
rnacentral:rRNA from 1 species